UUCCAACAGGAGAGAAUUAAA
rnacentral:piRNA from 1 species